UUAGCCCUAAACACAAAUAAUUAUAAAAACAAAAUUAUUCGCCAGAGUACUACCGGCAACAGCCUAAAACUCAAAGGACUUGGCGGUGCUUUAUACCCUUCUAGAGGAGCCUGUUCUAUAAUCGAUAAACCCCGAUAGACCUCACCAAUUCUUGCUAAUACAGUCUAUAUACCGCCAUCUUCAGCAAACCCUAAAAAGGAAUAAAAGUAAGCAUAAUCACAACACAUAAAAACGUUAGGUCAAGGUGUAACCUAUNAAAUG
rnacentral:rRNA from 1 species